rnacentral:rRNA from 1 species
GGGGAUGACGUCAAAUCAUCAUGCCCCUUAUGAUUUGGGCUACACACGUGCUACAAUGGCGUAAACAAAGGGAAGCGAGAUUGUGAGAUGGAGCAAAUCCCAAAAAUAACGUCCCAGUUCGGACUGUAGUCUGCAACCCGACUACACGAAGCUGGAAUCGCUAGUAAUCGCGGAUCAGAAUGCCGCGGUGAAUACGUUCCCGGGUCUUGUACACACCGCCCGUCACACCAUGGGAGUCAGUAACGCCCGAAGUCAGUGACCUAACUGCAAAGAAGGAGCUGCCGAAGGCGGGACCGAUGACUGGGGUGAAGUCGUAACAAGGUA